UACGAAGGGGGCUAGCGUUGUUCGGAUUUGCUGGGCGUAAAGCGCACGUAGGCGGAUCUUUAAGUCAGAGGUGAAAUCCCAAGGCUCAACCUUGGAACUGCCUUUGAUACUGGGGAUCUUGAGUCCGGGAGAGGUGAGUGGAACUGCGAGUGUAGAGGUGAAAUUCGUAGAUAUUCGCAAGAACACCAGUGGCGAAGGCGGCUCACUGGCCCGGUACUGACGCUGAGGUGCGAAAGCGUGGGGAGCAAACAGG
rnacentral:rRNA from 1 species